CAAGAAGUCCCUGGAGAGUUCCGGAAGAACGCAGAAAUCUGAGACGUGGGAGGGGCCACACCCGGCAAGGCCUGUGCUCUAAAUCUGGUGAUCUCAGCCCCUGGGGUGUAAGAAGGCAAUACAAAAUUGGCUCAAGAAUUCCAUUGAAGUGGAAGCUCCGCCAUUUGACCUUCCCUCUACCGGCAGACACUCAGCACCCACAAAGAUGUAUGAGAACUGUCCAGACCAAGAGUGGGAGUUAGGGGACCUCUGGACUGCAUGAAGUUUCUGCUCUGUGCAGCUCUGAGUUACAGAGGUGUGGGAGAGGCUGAAAAG